UCUCAACUUGGAUAUUCUUGUGCCGAUAAUUCUUUGAUAAGAUUGAUUAUUUUUUGUUGUCACAAGGAUUUAUUUUGCUGAUCUUUUUUGCCUUUCAUAUUUAUAUUUAGAAUUUCAGUUCUGGAGUUAUUCUUGGACUUUUGCUCAUACAACGUGACUUUUUGUGUUUUGCAGGAUUUUUGACAUUGCAUCUGCAUUUGUUUUGAUCUUCCUUCAUUCUUUGCAACGGUAACAGAAGAAUUUUCUCAAGCAGACUGUACAGGACAAGGGGGAUAACAAGUCAGAUGAGUUACACGUGUUUAGAGAGCCAUGCGAUACGUUAUGCUCUUCAGUAUUUGCAUGAUGAAGUAUUGUACUGGUAGACAUGCUGCAUGUUUUGGUCAACCUGAUACAAUAAGAGGUUUCAAAUCCGCAUAGUGCUAAUUUUUUUAGGGCAUCGGCCAUCUAUGAUCUCUUCUAGCUCAACGUUAGCCCCUUACGUGCAUUAUUUCAAGCCGCGGUUCUAGAUGACCUGUAAUGGACGGAGUGGAUUACAGGUUCACAUUAUGAGGGAAGAGCUAUUUGUAAACCUGGGACACUGUGGGUCAAGUCGUAUGAGGUUGAACAACAUUUAUGAUGACUUUAUAUAAUCUGUACUUUUUUAAUGUAUUAAAUAUGAUAUGUUUGAUGAAAUUAGUCUUUUU